rnacentral:rRNA from 1 species
UACGUAUGGGGCAAGCGUUAUCCGGAAUUAUUGGGCGUAAAGAGUGCGUAGGUGGUUACCUAAGCGCAAGGUUUAAUCUUGAGGCUCAACCUCAUUCUGCCUUGCGAACUGGGCUACUUGAGUGCAGGAGGGGAAAGCGGAAUUCCCAGUGUAGCGGUGAAAUGCUUAGAUAUGACGCAGAACUCCGAUUGCGAAGGCAGCUUACUGGGAUGCAACUGACGCUGAGGCACGAAAGCGUGGGUAUCAAACAGGAUUAGAUA